AAGACUAUACUUUCAGGGAUCAUUUCUAAAGUUUGUUACUAGAGAAGUUUCUCUGAAUGUGUAGAGCACCGAGACUGGACAGG
ensembl:snoRNA U3 Small nucleolar RNA U3